ensembl:lncRNA
AUUUUAUUAUUUACGACCACACAGAGAUCUUGUUUUGGUUUGUUUUUUAAAAAUUGAUUUAUUUUUAAUUGGGGGAUAAUUGCCUUACAAUAUUGUGUUGCUUUCUGCCGUAUAUCAACAUGAAUCAGCAAUCAGCCAUAGGGAUUGCAGGCAAAAGCUGAGCUCACAGAAAGGACAGAGAGAGUUUAUUUGAGAGAGGCUUUUUGAACUGUGGUGUUGGAGAAGAUUCUUGGGAGUCCCUUGGACUUCAAGGAGAUCAAACCAGUCAAUCCUAAAGGAAAUCCAUCCUGAAUAUGCAUUGGAAGGACUGAUGUUGAAGCUGAAACUCCAAUACUUUGGCCACCUGAUAAUGAAGAAAUGACUCAUUAGAAAAGACCCUGAUGCUGGGAGAGAUUGAGGGCAGGAGGAGAAGGGGACGACAGAGGAUAAGAUGGUUGGAUGGCAUCGCUGACUCGAUGGGCAUGAGUUUGAGCAAGCUCCGGGAGUUGGUAACGGACAGGGAAGCCUGACGUUCUGCUGUCUAUGGGAUUGCAAUGAGUCAGACAUGACUGAGUAACUGAACUGAAGGGCAGGUCACUCAGAUUAGGUUGUCUUUUAAGCGCACGUUAUCGCAGAGCCUGAUGUGAGUGGUAUAUGGUUCCAGAAUCUCUGACAACUCGGGGAGGAGUCGUCUGUCAUUCCUCGUUCUCCAGGAAGCAGGCAGAGCCUCGUGAAGUUUCGGUGACUUGGCUGCGGCCGCCCAGCUCCUAUGUGGGUUUGCAGGGCCCAGAGAGUCUCCUUGCACAUGUCUCCCGCUCUGGCCAGCCGUAGCACUGCCCUCUGCUUUUCACAGCAUUAUCCCGGGAAUCCUGGUGACACACAUGAAGGGUUUUAGAGCAGGAUGCGAGGUUUCCACCCUGGCCCAGAGACAUGGUGUGCACCCAGGAGAACAGUCACCCAGGUGGGCAGUGAGCGCUCACUCAGCUUCAUUGCUCAUAGGGUCUGCGGAUCCUUGGGGAGAAGCAUCCACAGGCGGAGAUGAGAGACCAUAACUGGCCUUGUGUGGUUUGUUGUGUCUCAGCCUGAGAGUAAGUUGUACAGAGCAGCGGCCCUCAAGGAUGGUCCCUAAACCAGCAGCAUCUGGGACCUUGUCAAAAUGCAAAUUCCCGCGCUCUACCCAGAUCUAUUGAAUCUGAAAGUCUGAGCCUGGGGCCUAGCGAUCUAUAUUUCAACAAGCCCUGGAGGUGGUCUGAUUCGUGCUAAACAGGUCUCCUUCCGGAGCCCGUGUUCUGUCCUUCUCAUCAAACCCUUUGCCACUGCCUGCACAGACUGAGACUAAACAAUAAUUUCCCAGUGUUGCACAAGAGGGGAACUGGUCUGCCGGAUGGAGCCUCCUGAUUCCUGGAGCCUGAGAGGCCCCUGAGUACCCGCGGGGGUCGGGCAUCCUUCCUGAAUGAGACGCUCCUAGAGCGGGAGUGCUGGAGGCAGACCCAGGUG